rnacentral:tRNA from 1 species
UAGCUCAGUUGGUAGAGCAGCAGAGUUUCAAUCUGAGGAUCCUGGGUUCAAGUCCUUG